UUUCGCACUCAACUUGGGCCCGAUCGCGCUCUGGCGAAUACGUAAUACACUCACAGUAUCAACAUAUUUUACAUCACGGAAUCAAACGGGCUUAAAGGAAGCCGAAGGUCAUGGAUCGAAUCAUGCUCGUGACACUAAUUUUUCUUCUCAAUCAUCUUUGUCAUGAUUUUGGUAUGCUAAUGUCAUGGUAAUUUUUCUUCUCAACCCCUGACCCUGCAAUUCGAAAUAUAACGUUAAAGGUUUAGAGGAGUGUUGAAGGCAUAAUUGUAUAUGACUGGUGCAUUUGGAUAAGGAAUGAGACCUUUCUAUGGCUUUUGACCAUAUUGACCAGAAUUAUUUAAUGGAAAAAAUUAACAAAAAGAUAAAACAUAUGACCCUAAUCCAAAAGUAGAAAAUUCAAAUUUUGUUUCUUUGUACUGGAAUAAAGAAGAAAAGCCAUGUCCAAAAAUAUAGGCAGUGAAGGAGGGCGAAGCAGAAGUGCAGGCAGUGCAAAGCACUCGUCAACACUUGCUCCAGCCCAGCAACGGGAUCCUCCUCCUCCUCCUCCUCCUACAAUAAUAAAGGAAAGACAGACAAUUAUCAUUCAAGAAGGAGCAAAGAAGCCUGGCGUUUUUGGACAGAUGGCAGCAACCUCAGCAGGCGUAUCUCUCGGUUCUUCUGUUGGUCGUGCUAUGGGAGAGAAAAUAACAGAAGGGUCCCACAAGGAUCCACCGCAGCAGCAGGUGCCCCCUGGGCCAUGCUCGAAUGAAAUCGAGCAGUUUAUCCAGUGCACGCAGAAUAAUGAUGACAUCGGUCUCUGCCAGGGUUUCAACGAAGCAAUUAAAGAAUGCAAAAGGAGAAGUGGCCUGAGAUAAGCUUUCCAUGAGCAAAGAAACAAAAUUAAAAAAUAAAUUAAAACAAUUGUGUUAACUACUUGCUGCAUUAAUUCAAGAAAUUCACAUAAAAGAAAAUAAAUUAAGAGAACUAGGAAAAGAAAUCAUCUUAUCUUGGAUCCCCGUGUGGUUGUUGGCAUAGACUGAAAUUAAAAAACUGACAAAGUAGCCAAAUGAACUGCAGGGAUGCUACAUGAUCCGGCAAUGCGAAUUGUUUAAAGGUGUUGAUUGUUAAUAAUAGUUUACAAGACAAGUGGGUGCAUU
rnacentral:misc_RNA from 1 species